rnacentral:rRNA from 1 species
GAUCUCAACUCAUAUGUGAC